UUACCUACUUACAUUGUUAAAUAUAAUAAAAUCAAUUCCAAAACGUAGUACCUAGUUUAUAAUUAUAAUAGUACAUCAUCUGUUAUAUAAUUUGUCAUUAUAUACAUUUCAGGUCGACGACACUCGAAUCCCAGUAUGUCCGAGGGAGUUAGUAAAAAAGCGUGGAAGUUUCAAAGGUCGCUUAACAGCAUUUAUUAAUUAUCUCGAUGCGUCGAAUGAUAAAAAAUUAAGCAGUUGUGAUGUUACUGAAUUGCAAUUGCGGAGGGAAGAGAUCGAGUAGUUGUACGUACAAUAUGAUGAGGUACAGUUGCGUUUAGAAUGUAUUGUUUAUUAUGUAAAAUUACAGUUGUCUGAGCGUUCAGAGUUCGAAUCAUUAUAUUAUAAAGCUUUGUCUAGGUCUCAAGAAUUGUUAAAAUUAUACAAUAAAGAUAAUGAGUCUAUAUGUACUGAUCGGAAUACAGGUGUCAGCAUUCAUAAGCCUAUUAAUACAGCUACAAUACAGCUACCACGGUUUAAUGGGUGUUAUAGUAAUUGGCUAGAAUUUCGUGACACUUUUACUAGCCUCAUCCAUGAUAAUGAUGAAAUUGACCAAAUAAAUAAAUUCCAUUAUUUGCGUGCUUCUCUUGAGGGAUCUGCUGCUUUAGUUAUUCAAUCGAUUGAGUUUUCCGCUAGCAACUACACCGUUGCUUGGGAUUUUAUAUGUGAUCGUUAUGAUAACAAACGAUUAUUAGUGCAGAAUCAUGUGUCAGCUUUAUUUAACAUUGAAGCUGUUGCUAAGGAAUCCUCUAUGGCGUUAAAAGGUUUGAUAGACCAAUUAAAUAAAAAAUUGCGUUCAUUAGAAUCCUUAGAUGAGCCAGUUAAACAAUGGUAUACUUUAUUAAUAUAUUUAGUUACUCGCAAGUUAGAUCAGAAGUCUUAUCGUGAGUGGGAGGAGUUUAAGGGCCGUAUAGACAAGAAUAGCAAAAUCACAUUCGAUGCUUUCCUUCAAUUCCAUCAUACGCGCGCUGACUUAGUUGAAACUUUAGAGUUAUCACGAAAUAA